GACCUUGUAAACUUGGAUCAACUUGAUUAACUCUGUUUCCUCGAAAGGAGAAGCAGUUGUUCAUGCUAAGUCCCAUGUUUGACCUCAGCACUAAACAGAAAGAUCUUUAAACAGUUCGCUGCCUCCUUGGCAUUUCUUCAUUCUGCUUUUCAUUUCAUGUGAAAUCUCCUGGGCUCUGACCAGUUCAAAAAGCAACUUUGUAGUUUUCUAUGGUAAAUGACUGACAGUAUUGGAAACUGUGCUCUUUGUCUGACAGACAACUGCAUUCACACUGCUAAGCAUUUGGACUGAACUUUUAAUUCAACCCUACCGACUUCUUUUUCUCCUUCCCUCAGCAUUGUCUGUACUGUGCCUGCCAUGGCAAUGUAUCUUCUGUUUCUGAAGCGGCUGCGUUUUUUCUGUGAUCCUAAAUGCAGCUUUGGUGCACGGUUUGGGAUCUAAUGAAGAUAUGCUUUGUGUAUGUGCUGUUGCAUAUAAUAACCUGAGACAUUCAUAUCAAAGCCAGUUAAAAGGUAGCCCAUGCCAGUAGAAGUGGAGCUUGUUACUCUUUGAUAGCCGGUAGGUGACUGACACAGUGUCAGUCUAUUUACUAAUGAAAAAAUGUGCUAGUAAGACUAUAAGUUUUGUGGAAAUUGUAAGCAAAACAGCUAAAGGAUGAAUACAGCUGGAGCUUGAAUAAUUCUUUUAUGUUAAUAUCUCUGUGCCAAAGUUGUGGCAUGUUGAUGAGAUGGUUUGGGAAUUUUUUUAUAUGCUCUAAAUACCCUUGUAUUAUCUCACUUAGCAGAGUACUGUGAAUAGGUCUCAUCAGUUCACAUGCUUAAAAUUGCACAUGUACUUUGGCGCUGCCUGUCCAAAAGCCGCAAGAUUCUGCUGUUGAAUUUGUGGAGUGGAUGGAUGUGGAAUGUUUCCAUGAGGCUGGCGGCUGCUUCCUUGGAAGAGGUGGGGAAUAGCUGUUGGGGCAGCAUGUUUUACUCUGCUGGUCAGACAUCUGUACCCGCCCAGGGCUACAAUCUGAACUGCGCCAACUACCUCCACAGGAAAAGAGAGGACAAAGUACGUGUGUCCUUCAUCUAUACUCAGACUGGGACUUACUGCCAGGAUGCACAACAGGGACAUCCCAGCUUGUGAAGACGUUCUCUAACUCAGAGCUAGCCCCAGUGAUUGCCAUUUUGGGGCCACCCAGGUCCAAAUAAACGAUGUUGAUGCUUACAAAGUAAAGAGCACAGUCCUUAGUCCCAUGUGGAAAGUACUGGCAACAUGUAACCUUUCAUAAGUAAUUGAUUCACUUUAAUAAUUGGAAAAUGUGAAAAGGCAGAAACGUUUUAAAUUAACAACGCGAUUAAAUAUUUGUGUAUAUAUAAAAUAGAAUGAAUUUAGUAUCUUGUACAGGCAGCAUGCAACAUUUUCAUUCCAUUAUAAGAAUUUAUGGCAUUUAAAAGAAAUUAUGCUCUCUUACCCGUAUGUCUCUCCUCUACAGCACUCAAUUUUGAGAUAUGUAUGCAUUAGAAUCUUAAACACUGUAUUAUAUUUGUAUAAGUAUUAUCUGUGCAUGUUGCAAGUGGGUGUAUAAAUGUCUCCUGAAUUUUAUCAGUUACAGGUCAUCUCUUGCUUUGAAACAAGAAGUAUGCUAAUACUGCAUUAGAAGUUUCAAGUUCAAAUCCACAGUUCACAGAAUGUGAUUCCAAGAUGCUACAAACCCCAUUAAAAACCCAGCUUUACUUUGCUUCUGUAUCUGCUUGCCUAAAUGCAAUCUGUAGACCACAAAUCUCAUAUUUACUCAUGUUAUAUCAGAUACAUUUCUAGUGUAGACUAUAGAAUACCUACAUAGUGCCCUGCAGGAUGUGUUAUCUCCUGUGUGUCAAAAGAUGCCAUACUUUGUUUCUACCCAUCCAGCAAUGAACUAGAGACUUGACCGUCCUCCAUUAUAACAUUCUUUUGUAGACAAAGGAUGACAACAUAUUCCACUAUACUUGUACUUGCAUGAUGUAUGGAAUGAUUCCAUACUACACUAUAAUUAAGCAGAAAGCCCAGUUUAUCCUGAGAUGCUUUUUAACUACAAAUGAUAACUCUUCUCAGAUUGUGGUCUGCUUGAGAUUCAAGGGUCUGUGAGGAGUCAAGGUGCAAGAGGUGAAAACUUGAGACUGUAGUUUAAAGCAGCCCCAGGAACACCCUUUCCAAGCAAACAUGAGCAGCUCAAAGGAAACACUGACAUCUGGAACUGGGUGAUAUUGUAUUUAUGUGUGUACUUGCAAUAUAAUAAAUAUAAAUUAUAUUAACUA